AAGGAGAGAACAAAAGGAGAGGCGAGGGAAUGAACCAAUGUGCUUCUGAAAGGAGCAUCGUGGGCGUCCACUGGGGAUGGCCGUUUCCCUGGACCUUGCACACCAAUCCUGGCCACAGUCCCCCAGGGCGGGGAGCGCCAUCUUGAUUUUAUAGAUGAGGAAAGGAAAGAAAAGCAAAGCUUGGAGAACCCAGGUCAUUUAGCUUGCCCGGCCUCGGCUUGCCACCUGUCAACUGGGGAAGGAGGUCGAGAGGCUGAGAGGCCACUGUGCCUGGAGGGGGCUGUGAGGGCCAUGGCUCAGAACUUCUGCCCCUUCUUACGACUUGAGCUCCCACAGUGUGUAAGUGGCCCGGCCCAGACUUGAACCUGCUCAACCUGUCCUGCUGCCUGCCUCGGGCACUUAGCAGACUCCAGGCCUUGCAGUGAGUAACUGAGGAUGAGGGCUGGUCCCUGGGCCAUCCCUGUCUUCUUGAGGCCAUUAGGUUUAGGUCCUUCAGCCUGGAGGGUGAUUGAACAGCUCGGUUCCAGUCCGCCCCGGGUACCUGGUGCCCUUCCUCUCCAUCUGCCUCCCCUGAGGACGAGAUUGGAAUACAAUUGCAAUGGUCUGGCUCACUAAUUUCAUUUUCUGUGUCUGGAGUAAUAGGGCCUCUUGAACUCAUUACGUUUAUUUAAAUUCAAAUAACAACCAGGUUGGUGGGCGGGAGAGGCUUUGCUGAGGAAGCCUGGUCAUUCCCAACCAGGAUGGCUCAGUGUUCGGCUGCUCAGUUGGGGCCCAGCAGAAGCUGACAUUGACCUUGACCCCAAGUGGGCAGGCACCAGGGAGCUCCCCCCAGCACUUCACCUUCAGAGAACCAAUUAGGCAUGAGAACAGUGCCUUGGGGUCCAGUAGGGGCCAGCCAGCCAGCCCGCCCAGGAGAUGGGUCUGAGCCUCUUCCUUGAAUUAGCCAUUUCCAUUAUGUUCUUGUCAGUUUCAGGCCAAAUCUGCCCCAGGUUUUAUUUCAAUCUGGCACUGAGAGGUGAGGUGGGGGUGGGUGGCAUUCCCAAAGGGAUCUGUGUUCCCUAAUGCGACAGAACUAUUUUCUAGUGAGCCGGGGCACCCUCUGCUCAAGGGCUUCAGUGAUUUAGGUCCUUCAGUUUGGAGGGUGAUUGAACAGUUCAGUACCUGGGUGCUGUGAUGGUGGUCACUGGGGACUCUGGCUACAGAGACGAUAAACAAGGGACGCUGGUGCAGAGGGGUCUCAGGAGGCCACGGGAGCACUUCUCUCUUCACUGAUUCCUGCCUUCAGCCUUGGUCCUGUGCUAAGUCCCUUGGCUCUCCCCAAGGCCUCUCCUCUUGGCUGACAGUGUCUGCUCAGUGUCUGCUCCCGUGUCUUGGUCCCCUCCUCUGUCUAGUACCAUCCAGGCUGCUCCCCUUCCAGGAAGCCUCCCUGGUUGCCUUCGGAUGCAUCUUUCUUCUUGUUCCCCAGAAUUUUAUGCCAAAACCCAAAUGCUUUCUGGGCUGACAGGCUCUCUCCUCCUGACAAGGAGCAGGGCCAAUGUAGAUCGAUCCUGGGGUCCCCAGUGCCCACCCAGAGAGGAUGCUCAGUGGCAGCUCUCUGAAAUCCAACAGAAUUCCCUGGUACCCGGCCCCUCCCCUUCCUUCCUACAUUCACCGUAGGGUUCCGGUCCCCUCACUCCUCUGCCUCUGUCCCAGGACCACCUGCGUAGCCCCCCACUGCCAGCCGGCUCAGGCUCAGCAGAUGUUGAUGCUUCUGCUUCUGGGACCUCACAGCUGCUCUGCCGGUCCCCCAUGGCCUUUCCCCAGCCAUCCUGGCCCCAAGCCUCACCCCAACCCUGUUCCUCUUUGGAAGCAUUACCCCACUGGCUGCUCAGGUUAGGACUAGGUACCGGAUGCAGGGCCUGGGCCACCUGGCGCCACACUUUGCUGCCUCCUAGGCUGGUGGCUCUUUAUUAGCUCAGGGUUCAAUGCUUGGACUUUGAUGUGGCCUGGGAAUCCUUGGGCAGAUGUGCAAGAACCCAGUCUCCCUCUGCACAUGUGCCAAGUGGCUGUGGCCUCACUGCGUGGGCUCCACGGGGCAGCCUGCAAGAGGACAGCACUGCUUUAUUCUCCAGACAGGCAAACCAAGGGGCCCUGAGGUGGAGGGCCGGCCCAGGUAUACAGAGCUGCGGUGGUACCAGGUCAUAGGUGAGGAGCCACCUGGCUUCUCCCACAGGCUGCAGACCUCGUUCAGAAUGUGCAGAUUCCUAGAGUGUUCUGGGGUUGCCUGUCAACCACGGCCACCUCUCGGUCAAUCUCGGGUUGCAGAUGCAGCAUUUUGGUGGAGAGGUUAGUGGUGUGAGUUGUGAGCACCAGCCCAGGAAGCGGAGCCUCAAGGCAAAUAUCAGCUCUGCUACAUUUUGCUGUAUGACAUCUGGGCCCUGGUUUUUCCACAUGGGAUAAAGGACCUCUUUCUUCUCUGUCCCCAGAAAAACUACAAGACCGGCUUUCCUCAGCCUGCUCACCAUAUGGUGCCCCAAGCAGGAGAAAACCAUCUGCAGGGGCUGGGAGUCCUUACCAUCUUGGCCAAGAUGACUGUGCGUCUUAGAUUAGCUAGUGGUCCAUCCGAGGGAGAGCCCCUGCUGGGAGACUUAGCUUUCAGUUGGGUUCAACCUCCCCUCUCUGAGCCUUGGGCACUCAUCUUCACAAUGAGGCUGUUGGACUUGCUGCUCCUAUGGCACCAGCAAUUCAUGACUGCAUGCUCUGGGUAGUGACUAGUGACCUGUGGCGAAGCUGAUCAGGGGGCUCUGGGGCAUUGUCACCCUACAGCAUAUCCCAGAGACAGCCUAAGGCUCACUGCUGUCAAGAACUGCUGGUGGGGGCAGGGCUGGGCAGGGGUGGGCAGUGGUGCCUGCUCUCCUGCAAGCAGGGCCCGGGUCCUGAGCUCAUCAUCUAAGCAGGUAAUUAUGUGUGUGCUUUGUUCACUACACAAAGGGGCUCUCAGAGAACUUGGAGGGGCUCUGCUUCCUGGCUGAUUUGAUUUUUUCAGAGCUGGAGUGUGAAAAUCAAGCUGAACCUGCCUAAUUGUGUCUGGGAAGGCGAUUCAGAGAGGCUCUCUUGGAAGGAAAUCAGGACAAUUAGCUCUUGGCUGCGGGGAGAGGGGGGUGCAAGCUCAUGAUAGCAAAUGUCAGCCUGUUCCGGGGAACCAAAGGGCAGCACAGGGCGAGAGUGGGAAAAGGAGGGGCGUCCGCGGCUGCUUCCCAGGGGCUGGUUAGCGCCCACCGCCUGCUGGAGCAUAGGCUCCUGGUGCCUGCGGGAGCAAAGGCUGGGGCGGGAGAGGGAGAGUGGGGUGCUCACCCGAGUCUUGGGGUUUGGCCACGUGGCCUUGGCAAGGCAGGAAGCCCGGGGUCUCAGGUUCUCUGCGUCUGCCCAGUGAGCUCUGGCACAGCGAGCAGAGGGAGCCCACUCACCCCGGGUAGCGGCCGGUCCAGCGGGAGGGUGCGGAGGGGCUGGGAGAGGCCCGUGGCCUCGCUCAAACGGGGCGGCGCAGGGUCAGGCUCCAGCUGGCCCAGCUGCUCUCCGGGCUGCCACGCUUUCUGUGUCACAGAGGAAAAUUCUAACUCUAACGGCCUCUUGGGCUUCCAAGGCAGAGAGGUGGGGUCCGCCUUAGCCUUGCCUGUUCUGAGCUCUGCGACGUUACAGAGGCUCCUCAGCCUCUGCACGGCUUCCUAACCAGACGCACCUGGCAUCCAGCGCCCCAUCUGGCACCACGCCUGUGACAACUGCCCAUUGUCCCUCCUGUGGCAUCAGGAAACUGGGGUCCAUGAGUCCACUUCCCAGUCACCAAAGAGUGUGUGUGUGUGAGUGGGUUUGUGAACGUGAGUGGGUAUAUGUGAUGUGUGUAGGUGUGGGAGUGAGUGUGCAUGGCUGUGUGGAAGUGAAUGUGAGUGUAUGUAAGAGUGUGAGUAUAAGUGUGUGAGCAUGUGCACAUGUGAGUGUGUGCACAUGAAAGUGUGAGGGUGUGGGUCUGUGAUUGUGAGUGUAUGUGUAUGCAUUAGUGAGUGUGAGCUGGGUGAGUGGUUAUGGGAGUGUGUGUGUGAGUGCAUGAGUGUGUGUAAGAGUGCAUGUGUUAGUGUGAGUAUAUGAGUAUAUGUGUAGCUGAGUGUGUGCAUGUAUGUGAAUGUGUAUGUGUGUAUAUGUGUGAGAGGAUACAUGUGUGUAGAAGUUUGAAUGUUUGUGUAAAUAUGUGUAUGAGUUGUGAGAAGUGUAUCUGAGUGAGUGUGUCAAAGUGUGUGAAUGUGUAUAGUGUGUAUGCAUGCAGUGCAUGAGUGUGUGCAUGGGUGUUUGAAUGUGAAUGUGAGUGUGUGUUGGAUAGACGUGCUCCUGGAUGGAGUGUGUCUUUCCGUGGGGCCCAGGAUAUGCGCUUCAUUUUUUAUUUAUUUUAAGGGAAGCGGCCUGGUUUGGGUGGAGCCAUAGAGCGGCAUCAGAAUCCGACACCCCAGGUGGGCAGUGAUCAUGUUCUUCAGCUCCUGUGUCUGUACAUAGAGAUGAUGGUCACACCAGCUUCCAAGUGAGGGUCAAACUCUUUGAUACACUCGGAAGUCUUGGCACAGGGCCUGGCACCACUGUUGUCACCGACAUUGUGACUGAAUGGCUCAGGGUCCCACUAGACACGCUAGCAUGGGAUGUGAGAGGAACCCACCCCGGUGGCUGGAAUGAGGAUGCCAGGGCUCAAGUUCAGGCAGCACCCACUGGCAAGGGGCAUGUGGCAUCCAUUUGGAUUGGUCUAUCUUGAGAUGCUCCAGUGUUAAAUAAUUUGGAUCCCACCUCUGAGAGAGGACACAAGCCUCAGGCUGCUUGCAAAGGCAGAGUUGUAGAGGAGGUGGUGGCAUGUGUGGGCGUGGCCAGAGAAUCCAGCCCCAGAGCCAGCCCUGGUCUGAUCUGAGGAGCCUGGGCCCCACUGUCCCCAGCUGUCCACUGGGAUGUGAGGCCUGGAAGUGUGCAUUGCCCUCUGUGCCCUGUGCACGCUGUGUAUUGUGUCUGUGCAAUUUCUCACACCCGUUUGGUAGGUGGGAUGGGGGCGGGCAGGGAAGCAGGUUUGGAGUCAGGGUGGUGAGGCCCUGCGCAGUGCAGGUGGAGGUGGCCGUGAAGGAGGGGCAGCCAGGGGCCCUGGGGUUGAAUAGCAGCUCCCAGCAGUUUGCUGGCUCUCCUGUGGGCUUCGGAAGGCUCUCUUGCCUUAGGUUUGGCCACUUGGCAUGGAGCACAUGGCGACCUCUCCAACAUGGCCUCUGACAGUGGCCUCGUGGUGGCCCACCUGUGAGGAACGCCUCCUCCGUAAAGCCUUAGAGACCACAGGUCCUGAAGCCAGAUUUAAAGUUAGGUGGUCAGUGUAGUUAGGUAAAUCGGGUCUAAUAUCGAGUAAAAUCGAAAAUGAAGGCUAUGCUGACAAUGAUUCCGAGAAAGGCAGGACAACUCAUGGAAUGUUAAUGAAGUCCCGGAAAGGCCCUAGGCCAAAGUCCACCCCAAAGAAAUGUUAAUGGACCCAGGAAACAGCCCCCAACAGAUUUGCAGAUAGCCCAUCCCAGAGAAGUGAUAAGCCCAUCCCAAAAAGUGAUAAUUAAGUCCUUCCUGCCCGUUUGGCCCACCUGUGUCCUAACCCUUCCCCCUCACCAGAACUAUAAAAAGGGGAGACAACCGCACUUCCACGGAUUCCACCUCUUGGGUCCCCUUCUUCCUCCGGGAGAAGUCUUUUCUGCUGUCCUUUAAUAAACUUCUUUUUUUUUUUUUUGAGAAUUUUAAUAUUUAUUUUUUAGUUAUUGGCGGACACAACAUCCUUGUUUUGUAUGUGGUGCUGAGGAUGGAACCCGGGCAGCACACAUGCCAGGCAAGUACGCUACCGCUUGAGCCACAUCCCCAGCCCAUCUUUAACAAACUUCUAAUUUCUACUCUGACCUUGCCUCGGCGUGCUCUCUGAUGUUAUUCUUCAACAUUGGGGAAGCAAGGACUCGUCACCGGUCAACAGCGGUAACAGUCCCAUUUCC
rnacentral:lncRNA from 1 species